GGAAGCUGGUCUUGUUUCUGUAUGGAGCCCAGAGCCGUGGAAUGCAGCGUCAGGACACCUCCAGCACACUGUUGAUAAUGGCUACAAUGCUGUUUCUUCCAAUGAGCCGGAGUGAACAUGUCUCUCACUAUAGUCAUAACAGAAAUCACUCCCCAGUGUGAAGGUAACAGAUCUUCUGGAAAGAAAUUAUAGUCGUUCAAACAAUGGCAACUCAGAUGUAUGAUCACAGCUACUUGAAAUGUGCAGUUCUGGAAAUAGAGAAUUAAAACUAGAAUGCUCCACAAUGGAAAUGGAAUCAGUGGCCAACACAAAUUACUCCUUAGAUAAUCAACUGCCAAUAAACCUGAUUUCUUGAUUCUGGCAACAG
rnacentral:lncRNA from 1 species